CCUGGCGUUACGACGCGUGCAGGACGCACCGCCCCACGCGCGGUCGGACUACAAGUCCCAGCAUGCAUCGGGGUGAAGGUCGCAGAAAGACCCGGAUCCGCCCCUGGCGCCCAGCAUCAAGCCUGUGUUCAUUUCCUGUUGCUGCUGUAAUAGCUCCUGAGAACCUAGGCCAUUAGUGCAACUGUCCACGAGGAAAUGGAUCAUGCCAACAGUCACACACACUAAAGCCUUCAGGUGAAGUGGAGACGGCCCAGCUGUGAGCAAAAGGCAUGGCCAGGUAUUGACAGGUCAACGCCCUCUGCCUACAAUAUAUUCCUAUAGUUGGAAAGAGCUCACUUGACCUAGUUCAUCAGCUUCUAACAGACUCCCACGCAGACACCAGACCAAGCUUUCAAGCUGGGAUCGCGAGAGGACUACUGGACACAGCUAGUAGGCAAAACGGGGUGAGAUAGAGAUCUGAGUUCAGUCUGAUGGGACCCCGGGAUGUCUUUUGGACUUCUAGAAGGUGAACGGAUGCUCAGAUGGGCGGUAGAACUGAGAGUCAUUAACACAGAGAUGGUUAUUGAAAUAUAAGCUAUUUUCUCUGUUUUAAUUUCCUUUUGUUAUCAAAGCUACACUACUCCGUAGCAUAAAGCAAAGACUUCUAAACACUAAAACACAUCUCUUGAACUUAAAACCUUAUAUCCAAAUGAGGACUUAGCACACUGCUUCUGAAAGUCUGCCCACUUCUGCACUACCGAUGGAGAGCCAGGGCAGACGCCUGCUUGAAGCCACAAUGGCCCCCAAAGUGCGUCCACCAAGUCUGGCCACUUAAACAGGUGACCCCAGACCCUGGACAGGGAGGAGGUCCUAGUCUGCUCAAAAGCCCUGGAAACAAAGCAAAACAAAGGCACAGUGUGUGAGUUUCCUGACCGUUCUUAUCGCCCUGGAGUUCAGCCUUUGACCGUGGCACUUAGAGAGAACGUUGUAUGUUCCACCAGAAUGACUACACCUUUCUCCCAGGCACUCAGAAGGCCGUACUUCCCAAGCACCCUUGCAGGACCCUUGUGAUUAGAGCUGACCUGUAGACUAGGAAGGAGUGACAUUCAUCAUUUCCACGCCUGGCCACAAAAUCUCUCACAUGGUCCUCCAUCGUUUUUCUCCCAAAUCCACACUGACCCUACAUGACACAUGUUGAAGAUGGCAGUGCCGAACUGGGGAGGAAAUUGGUCCCUGAGCAGCUGUGGAGUAGAGCUUCCUCUCUGUCCCCCAGUUCACCUGCAUGGAACUUGGUUACUAAACAAUAACCCUGUUGCAUUAAGCUACUGAG